rnacentral:rRNA from 1 species
GAUGAACGCUAGCUACAGGCUUAACACAUGCAAGUCGAGGGGCAGCAGGAACAAAGCUUGCUUUGUUUGCUGGCGACCGGCGCACGGGUGAGUAACGCGUAUCCGACCUACCCAUAACACGGGCACAGCCGCUCGAAAGAGUGAUUGAUUCCCGAUAUGUCUUUAGAGUAGAUUUAAAGAUGAAAGAUUCAUCGGUUAUGGAUGGGGAUGCGUAAGAUUAGGUAGUAGGCGGGGUAACGGCCCACCUAGCCGACGAUCAGUAGCCGGCCUGAGAGGGUGAACGGCCACAUUGGGACUGAGACACGGUCCAGACUCCUACGGGAGGCAGCAGUGAGGAAUAUUGGUCAAUGGUCUGACGACUGACCAGCCAUGCCGCGUGAAGGUCACGGCCCUACUGGGUCUUAAACUUCUUUUGUCAAGGAGGCAAUAAGCCUCACGUGUGGGGCGAUGAGAGUACCUUGCGAAUAAGCAUCGGCUAAC